GGGAAGGAGAGAGGAAGAAAAAGACGUUCCUGAGAGCUGGAAGGUCUGCUCUUCCUCCAAGGUUCUGGCAGCAAAGACAUCUCUUCUGUGUUAUGACAUAAUUUCACAUGGGCUUUUUCAUGUCCGUUUUACAUGUGAGAAGACUGAGACUUAAGGAGAUGAAGUAAUCGACACAAAGCCUCAAGGCUGGAGGUACCACAGCUGCAGAUACUUCCUUUAAAAUGUCAACAGCAAA